rnacentral:tRNA from 1 species
GAGUGCGUAGCUCAACGGUAGAGCAACUAGCUUGCCUAGUAUUUAGCUGGUUCAAUUCCAGCCGCACUCC